GGUUCUAUGGUGUAGUUGGUUUAUCACUUCUGUCUAACACGAAUUGUGUGUAACACAGGCGGGUCCUCAGUUCGAACCUGGGUGGAAUCA